GACGAACGCUGGCGGCGUGCCUAAUACAUGCAAGUUGAGCGCUGAAGGUUGGUACUUGUACCAACUGGAUGAGCAGCGAACGGGUGAGUAACGCGUGGGGAAUCUGCCUUUGAGCGGGGGACAACAUUUGGAAACGAAUGCUAAUACCGCAUAAAAACUUUAAACACAAGUUUUAAGUUUGAAAGAUGCAAUUGCAUCACUCAAGGAUGAUCCCGCGUUGUAUUAGCUAGUUGGUGAGGUAAAGGCUCACCAAGGCGAUGAUACAUAGCCGACCUGAGAGGGUGAUCGGCCACAUUGGGACUGAGACACGGCCCAAACUCCUACGGGAGGCAGCAGUAGGGAAUCUUCGGCAAUGGACGAAAGUCUGACCGAGCAACGCCGCGUGAGUGAAGAAGGUUUUCGGAUCGUAAAACUCUGUUGGUAGAGAAGAACGUUGGUGAGAGUGGAAAGCUCAUCAAGUGACGGUAACUACCCAGAAAGGGACGGCUAACUACGUGCCAGCAGCCGCGGUAAUACGUAGGUCCCGAGCGUUGUCCGGAUUUAUUGGGCGUAAAGCGAACGCAGGUGGUUUAUUAAGUCUGGUGUAAAAGGCAGUGGCUCAACCAUUGUAUGCAUUGGAAACUGGUAGACUUGAGUGCAGGAGAGGAGAGUGGAAUUCCAUGUGUAGCGGUGAAAUGCGUAGAUAUAUGGAGGAACACCGGUGGCGAAAGCGGCUCUCUGGCCUGUAACUGACACUGAGGCUCGAAAGCGUGGGGAGCAAACAGG
rnacentral:rRNA from 1 species